rnacentral:pre_miRNA from 1 species
ACGGGGUUUUGUGUCGCCUUAUUUUGGUUAUAAGAAUAAUAAGGCACCAAAAUUCUGUGA